rnacentral:rRNA from 1 species
UACGAAGGGGGCUAGCGUUGUUCGGAAUUACUGGGCGUAAAGCGUAUGCAGGCGGACUUUUAAGUCGGGGGUGAAAUCCCGAGGCUCAACCUCGGAACUGCCUUCGAUACUGGAAGUCUUGAGUCCGGGAGAGGUGAGUGGAACUCCGAGUGUAGAGGUGAAAUUCGUAGAUAUCCGGAAGAGCACCAGUGGCGAAGGCGGCUCACUGGCCCGGUACUGACGCUGAGAUACGAAAGCGUGGGGAGCAAACAGG